AAGCUGUCUGAAAACAUCAGCAGGUUCAACCCGAACUCCACAGAGGGCCACGACAUCCAGGCUUACCUGCAAGAUAUCGAAUUUCAUCUGGAAAUGAGACCUCAUGUGACUGACAGAGACAGGUUAUAUAUCCUUAGAGCCCGUUCAGUCCAGAGGUACGAAACUUCCUAGAUCGACAGCCCAGUCAAAAAAAGUCAAACUACCAGUAGGGAUGUAAUGAUAUUGACGAUAUCGCGCUAUCACGGUGGUAAACAUGUCUCGAUAUCGUCGUGGUUGGGUUACAAUAUUAAAAGGACAGGUGUCCGUCAAAAAGCAAGAGGAAUAAACACAGUCCCGCGGAACAAAUCAUUGUUAACUACAUAGACCAUGAUCCUUUGCGCUGCGUCGUCACAACAACCGUUGUUAAGCCAAUAGGAUUGCACACUGCAUGCUGUCCACACAAGCUCACAGCAAGCCAGCAUGGCCGACAGCGAUACUUGUAAGGAUGAAAACAACAAAACCGAAGUUGAGAUUGUGCCAGCCCCUGCAGCUUUUAAAUCAGAUGUCUGGACUGAUUUUGGUUUCGCCGUGUCAAAAAAUGCAAAAGGAGAGAAGGUGGUGGACAGACAAUGGACUAUGUGUCAGCUCUGCCACAGUAAACUGCGAUACAACACAGGAAACACAAGCAACAUGCGAAGUCAUCUGACGACCCAUCAUCCCGAAAAGUUUGCAGAUUCUCUCACAAAGAAAGUCCUGUCCGGUCAAAAAACCCUGAAGGAGGCAUUUUCAACAACCAUGCCACACAACAGCGCAAGGGCUCAAGAAAUCACGAGGUACAUCGCGGAAUACAUAGCGUGUGAUUAACGUCCCUUUUCUGCAGUAGAUGGCAAAGGAUUUAAAAGGUUAGUGGCCAAGCUUGAGCCGAAGUAUCAAAUGCCGUCGCGGGCUCAUUUUAGUCAAACUGUGUUCCCUGCUCUUUACCGUGAGACAAAAGAACGUGUCAUGUUGAACCUUAAACAGUCUGAGUGCAUUGCUAUUACCACUGAUGGGUGGACUUCCAGAGCGACUCACAGUUACAUCACUAUUACGGCACAUGUUUUGACGAGUGAAUGAGAAAUGCAGAGUUACGUUUUACAAACUAGACAGCUUAGCGAAUCGCACACUGGCGUAAACAUAGCCGAAGUCCUUAAAUCUGCAGUCAAAGAGUGGGAGCUGGACAAGAUUUGAACAAGGAUCGCUGUUGUUACUGACAACGCAAGCAACAUGCGAGUAGCAGUAAAGGAAGCCGAACUGUCCCCUCACAUACGGUGCUUUGCGCACACACUAAACCUGGCCUCCCAAGCAGGUUUAAAGGUCAACGCAGUGAUCCGCCUCCUCGGUAGAGUCAGACGUGUAGCAAGUUUUUUUUCACCGCAGUUCUACAGCCACAGCCGUGCUGACCACCAAACAAAAACUACUCAAUCUCCCUGUACAAAAACUCAUUAUUGAUGUAGUGACAAGCUGGAAUGGCUCUCUGGACAUGGUGGAGCGCUACCUUGAACAGAAACAAGCUGUUGCUGCAGUCCUACUGAGUGAUGAACUGAGACACAAGUCACGUGAAAUUGACACUUUGGACACAUCUGACAUUGUAAAUGCAGAGGAUCUUGUGAAGAUUCUUUUACCAAUAAAAAAGGCCACAACUGUUCUCUGUGAUGAGUUGCAACCAACAAUAUCUCUCAUUUCACCACUAAAACAACUGAUUCAAGACAGCAUGGCCACAGAUAAUCACGACUCAAAUGCCAUUGCUCCGAUGAAGGUAGCCAUUCUGAAGGAUCUUACUGACAGAUACCAAGGAGAGGAUGAAAAGUUCAUGCAGGAGAGCAGUGCUUUGGACCCACGCUUUCGGACCUUGCAACAUCUAGGCAGUGGAGAGAGAGAGAGGACGUCUUUGAAAGAAUAAAGUUCAAAGCAUCACAGAUGCAACAACAGGACCAAGAUGUGCUGCCCAGGAGCCCACAUCCAGCAGAUCUGGACGACAGCAGCGCGAGCUUUGUGCCUCCUCUUAAGAAGCAUGCCCUUGAGGACCUCCUUGGCUCUUCUUUUAGCAGUAAUCAAGUCACAGGUGGAAUUCAGGCAGAAAUCGACUCUUACUGCAAAGAAGCAUUAGUUUCUCUGUCUGCUUGCCCUCUUAAGUGGUGGAGAGACAAUGCAGGGCGGUAUCCUAUUCUGUCUUCAUUAGCAAAGACCUACCUGUGUAUACCCGCUACCUCGGUGCCCAGUGAAAGGGUAUUUUCAACAGCAGGGGAUAUUGUAAAUGCCCAGAGGUCUCUUCUUCUCCCUUGCAAUGUAGAUCUUUUGAUCUUUCUAAAGAAAAACUUGAACAUAAGCUAAAUGAUAGGUCAGUGUUUUUUUAAAAGGCUUUUUGACUGACUAUUUUAAGUUUGUUAUGUUCCUAAAUACCAGUUUUAAAAGGCUGCUUUUAUUUGCCUUGCACAUUUAAACCUGACUUAACUUGAUCUUUGUUUGCACUUAAAGGGAAUUCCCUAUUGUUUACAAUUGUUCUAGUUGCUUCUUAACUUGAACAUUGCACAGAAGAAUCAGUUAUGCAACCAAAUAUUACUAUACAGAAUAUUGAUGUUCCUGACUACAACUUGCACUUUAAUAGCACUAUGUGAUCAGUGUUUUAUGUUGUCAUGGAUCCAUAAAUACAACAAUAAAUUGCCUG